UUGGGUUGCCUGUCCGCACGAGUGCUUGCUACGACAUGGUGUUUUUUUUAACUGGAUUCCACGCCGAUGAGGAACUCGAAGUAGCACCUGAGUAUUACUGGCAUAGCGAGAUGUGAAGGGCCUGGCUAGUACUUGGAUGGGAGACUGCCUGGGAAUACUAGGUGCUGGAACAGGAAAUACGGUGACACUGAGACAGCCUGUCAGUAAUCACUAGGAUCACGUCAUGUCCAUAGACUGUAUAAAAUCAAGUUCAGUGAUUUUUCAGCAGCAUUAUUUAACACGAUCAGUUGAUGGCAGAAUGGAAGGAGGUGCUUCUUCUGGGGAAUGAACGCACCCGUGGCCAUACCAAGAACCCAUGUUUCAGUUUUCAGCAAGGAUUAAAGAUUUGUUUCAUUUUAAAUGUUUGCUUUGUUUGCUGAAAACUGAACCACAUCAUGGCCUAUAAAAACUCACUGUCCAACCUGCAGAAGCAUA